AACCCAUGGUGUGGGCAUUGGUUAGUGUAGCUCUUGAAUCUCGCAUUUGCUUCACCAAAACUUUCAUUGCUAUGUUGAGUGAAUCUGGAGAUUUGGUUUCUUAGCUU
rfam:Eutrema salsugineum unplaced genomic scaffold scaffold_26, whole genome shotgun sequence.